CUAAAACCCUAUGAUGACUAUAUGAUUUUUUUUUUAUUUUUUCAUUGGAUAUACCGUGUACUCGUUUUUUUUUUGAUUUGAGAAAUCAAAGUUCAUUGUUUUCCAAUUUUGUGCCUUUGCUGUAUUGUGGAAAUUCAUGAAUUCUCUUAAAUCAUGGAAUAAUUUUUAAUUUUGGAUCUUCCUUAUUUCAACAACUAGACACCUAAAAAAAAGAUACUUAACUUUUAAAAAACCAUAAAAUAAUGCUUUUGAGCUUCAAGACAUUAUUUAGCAUUAGAUGAUUAGAAGCAGUAUGAGAUCGAAAUAUCCAUCAAACGCAUUUUUAUAUUUAUAUAGAUAUUUAUAUUGUUGAUUUAUGUGCAGACAAGCUUGCUUCUAAGAAGCAAAUUCAAGAUCAUGACUAGCUUUGUGAUUUAGAUACUUCAAUCACCACCUGACAGCAGGCCAGUUAUCUGGAACCAUGUGAGCAAAGUACAUAGUAGAACACAGAGAGUAUAAAGAUUGUUUUUGUAAAACUAAAUGAUCAUUUUGAUCAACAGUGAAUGAAAUAGUGCAGAUUUAUCAGCGUUGAUAUUGUUGCAUCAGUAGGACACUGAAUCAAUUGAUCACUAAAUAUCCAAUAUCUCUCAAAAUCUUUACAGACAUAGAUUUCUAACAUCAAGGAAAUCAAUGCAGAUUCCAUGCAACCUGAGUUGGAGAAAUACAACAAUUUACACCCUGUUUGGAUACAAAGUGGAGGAGAGGAAUGAAAGAAAAGAAACGAGAGAAGAGAAUAGAGUAAGAAAACUUUCGAUUGGGUAGAAGAGAAGGGAAGAGUAAAGAUCCCUGGACAUAAGAGAAAAAAGAGAAUAGAAAGGGGAGUUUUGUUUCUCUCCGAAUCUUUCUAAUAUUGGAGAGAUUAAAAGAGGGGGAGGGGGAGGUUGGAGAGAAGCCACUUCUCUCCAUUUCUUUUUUCUUUUCUCUCCUGGCUUGGCUAUCGGAAUGAGGAAAAAUGAGUUUCUCUUCUCUUCUCUCAUUAGAUUUCCAACCAAAUGAGGGAAAAUUAAUUUCUCUUUUCCUCUCUUAUAACCAAACAAGAGAUUUGUACUUUCUCUUCUCUUUUUCUCCUCUUUUUCUCCUCUCUUCUCUCCAAUUCUCUCAAUUGAAGCAGGGCAGUAAUGGAUGGAAGCUCUGAGAAAUUUGAAACAUAAAUGUAAGCAAUUUUUUCAUGCCAUCUGAUGCAGUAUAAAUAACUAAAGCUAGUGGAAACAUGUUCGCCUAAUUAUCAAGAAAUCUGGCUUCUGUUUGCAUAUAGUUCCUACUCUUGGAUAAGACACCAAGCAAUUAAGUAGAAUGAGUAGUUCUUAGAAUUCACAUUUUCCAGCUUUCAGUUCUCACACCAUAUACUUAGCACGAAUGCUAUGACAACUACCAUGAGGUAUGACAGCAUCAUGGGCUUCAACUCUAGCUUCUUUUGUUCUGUUGGCAUGAUCCUUACUCAAGCAAUUCGUCAAUAACAGAUAGCAGACCUGGUGCCUGCAUAAUUUUCUAUGUGUGCAUUUUGAAGAUUGUUUUUCCAUGGCCUCUAUAUCAUGUCUUCUUUCCAGAUACAAGUGACCAAGGGUAGCUAAUGUUUACUUUUAGAAUUAGAAUAUGCCAGAAUGUGGUCUGAGGAAAACCACGAAGAAAUGUUGCUGUUAAUUUAU